GACGAACGCUGGCGGCGUGCUUAACACAUGCAAGUCGAACGGAAAGGCCCUGCUUUUGUGGGGUGCUCGAGUGGCGAACGGGUGAGUAACACGUGAGUAACCUGCCCUUGACUUUGGGAUAACUUCAGGAAACUGGGGCUAAUACCGGAUAGGAGCUCCUGCUGCAUGGUGGGGGUUGGAAAGUUUCGGCGGUUGGGGAUGGACUCGCGGCUUAUCAGCUUGUUGGUGGGGUAGUGGCUUACCAAGGCUUUGACGGGUAGCCGGCCUGAGAGGGUGAACGGCCACAUUGGGACUGCGGUACGGCCCAGACGCCUACGGGAGGCAGCAGUGGGGAAUAUUGCACAAUGGGCGGAAGCCUGAUGCAGCAACGCCGCGUGCGGGAUGACGGCCUUCGGGUUGUAAACCGCUUUCGCCUGUGACGAAGCGUGAGUGACGGUAAUGGGUAAAGAAGCACCGGCUAACUACGUG
rnacentral:rRNA from 1 species